AGAGUUUGAUCAUGGCUCAGAUUGAACGCUGGCGGCAGGCCUAACACAUGCAAGUCGAACGGUAACAGGAAGCAGCUUGCUGCUUUGCUGACGAGUGGCGGACGGGUGAGUAAUGUCUGGGAAACUGCCUGAUGGAGGGGGAUAACUACUGGAAACGGUGGCUAAUACCGCAUAACGUCGCAAGACCAAAGAGGGGGACCUUCGGGCCUCUUGCCAUCAGAUGUGCCCAGAUGGGAUUAGCUUGUUGGUGAGGUAACGGCUCACCAAGGCGACGAUCCCUAGCUGGUCUGAGAGGAUGACCAGCCACACUGGAACUGAGACACGGUCCAGACUCCUACGGGAGGCAGCAGUGGGGAAUAUUGCACAAUGGGCGCAAGCCUGAUGCAGCCAUGCCGCGUGUAUGAAGAAGGCCUUCGGGUUGUAAAGUACUUUCAGCGGGGAGGAAGGUGUUGUGGUUAAUAACCACAGCAAUUGACGUUACCCGCAGAAGAAGCACCGGCUAACUCCGUGCCAGCAGCCGCGGUAAUACGGAGGGUGCAAGCGUUAAUCGGAAUUACUGGGCGUAAAGCGCACGCAGGCGGUCUGUCAAGUCGGAUGUGAAAUCCCCGGGCUCAACCUGGGAACUGCAUUCGAAACUGGCAGGCUUGAGUCUUGUAGAGGGGGGUAGAAUUCCAGGUGUAGCGGUGAAAUGCGUAGAGAUCUGGAGGAAUACCGGUGGCGAAGGCGGCCCCCUGGACAAAGACUGACGCUCAGGUGCGAAAGCGUGGGGAGCAAACAGGAUUAGAUACCCUGGUAGUCCACGCCGUAAACGAUGUCUACUUGGAGGUUGUGCCCUUGAGGCGUGGCUUCCGGAGCUAACGCGUUAAGUAGACCGCCUGGGGAGUACGGCCGCAAGGUUAAAACUCAAAUGAAUUGACGGGGGCCCGCACAAGCGGUGGAGCAUGUGGUUUAAUUCGAUGCAACGCGAAGAACCUUACCUGGUCUUGACAUCCACGGAAGUUUUCAGAGAUGGAAUGUGCCUUCGGGAACCGUGAGACAGGUGCUGCAUGGCUGUCGUCAGCUCGUGUUGUGAAAUGUUGGGUUAAGUCCCGCAACGAGCGCAACCCUUAUCCUUUGUUGCCAGCGGUUAGGCCGGGAACUCAAAGGAGACUGCCAGUGAUAAACUGGAGGAAGGUGGGGAUGACGUCAAGUCAUCAUGGCCCUUACGACCAGGGCUACACACGUGCUACAAUGGCGCAUACAAAGAGAAGCGACCUCGCGAGAGCAAGCGGACCUCAUAAAGUGCGUCGUAGUCCGGAUUGGAGUCUGCAACUCGACUCCAUGAAGUCGGAAUCGCUAGUAAUCGUGGAUCAGAAUGCCACGGUGAAUACGUUCCCGGGCCUUGUACACACCGCCCGUCACACCAUGGGAGUGGGUUGCAAAAGAAGUAGGUAGCUUAACCUUCGGGAGGGCGCUUACCACUUUGUGAUUCAUGACUGGGGUGAAGUCGUAACAAGGUAACCGUAGGGGAACCUGCGGUUG
rnacentral:rRNA from 3 species